rnacentral:rRNA from 1 species
AGGCCAGUGAAUGGCAAGACUAGGAAUAUCUGUACUUUAUGUAUAAAAAAAACUUUUCUUCUAAGUGAAAAGACUUAGAUAAUAAAGGAAGACGAAAAGACCCCGCGGAACUUCACCUUUUCUUUAUACCUCUGCGUACCAAGCUUAAAAGUAUACAAGGUUUGAUUGGGGCAAUCUUGGAACCAAUAAAGCUUCCAAACUUUCAUAUAAAGAUAUAGAAAAUUUAUUAAGGACCAUAAAGUAGUUACCCCGGGGAUAACAGCGUAAUCCAACUUAAGAGUACACAUCGAAAGUUGGGUUUGCGACCUCGAUGUUGGCUUAAGGACAUCCACAUAAGUGCAACCGCUAUGAUAGGAUAGUCUGUUCGACUAUUGUACCCUUACAUGAUCUGA